rnacentral:lncRNA from 1 species
UUUGCUCCCAACUGUGGUGUGCAGGUCUCAACCCUCACCCAAAUCACUGGCCGUUUACUUGGCUGCGAGACCAAAUAUGUCAGCCCCGCUGAAGCUUUCUCAGAAAUUCUAAUGAAAAACAGUAAGAGCUUGGAAAUUCUUUACAGUAAGAACCACACAGAGUUAGGAGCUGCAGUGAGUGGCUCUGAUGGUGGAGCUCCCUACUUCUGGUGUGUGCUGUUCAGCAAUGGCAAAAGCAAUAGCAGCUUUGUUUUGGAUGGAGGCGUAGCAAAGAUAUCGAAACCUGGGUGCUUCAGCGGUGCCAAUGAUCAGUGCAGCAGUGCAGACGAUUGGUCACAAACCCGUCGCUUGUGGCCCUAUGCCGCUGGAUUAUUGAUUGC